rnacentral:rRNA from 1 species
AAACUUUGCAAUACACGAAAGUGUGACAGGGUCAUCCCGAGUGCCGACCGCUGAGGUUGGCUUUUACCCAGUCUAGAAAGCUGGGGGAAUAAGGAGAGGGCAAGUCUGGUGUCAGCCGCCGCGGUAAUACCAGCUCUCCGAGUGGUGUGGACGUUUAUUGGGCCUAAAGCAUCCGUAGCUGGCUGAACAAGUCCCCUGUUAAACCCACCGAUUUAAUCGUUGGUGUGCGGGGGAUACUGCUCGGCUAGGGGACGAGAGAGGCAGACGGUAUUCCCGGGGUAGGGGUGAAAUCCUAUAAUCCCGAGAAGACCACCAGUGGCGAAGGCUGUCUGCUAGAACGCGCCCGACGGUGAGGGAUGAAAGCUGGGGGAGCGAACCGG